rnacentral:lncRNA from 1 species
CCAAGCCGCAUCUGCGACCUACACCACAGCUCACGGCAACACUGGAUCCUUGACCCAUUGAGGAGGCCAGGGAUCAAACCUGCGUCCUCAUGGAUCCUAGGCAGGUUCAUUUCUGCUGAGCCACGACCGGAACUCCUAUCCGCUUUAUAAACCUAACAUUCCCUUCCCACCCAGAAUGGCCCGUGAAUAUACCAGGGCUAAAUGUUUGAAGAAUUACUUCACCAUAUGGAAAUAGCGAAUGAAGAAUAUAAAAAGCAGACAGAUCUAUGCCCUGGUGGAUAGUGGUCUCAAAUUCACUCAUUAUUCACAUGAAUGCAAGAAACUCUGGGAACAGGAGGAGGUCAUGGGGUCCACGGAGGCCAUUCCUUUCCAAUGGGCUCUUUUUUGCCUUGGGCGGCAUCUAAUGGCUUCUGUGCUGGUUACACUUGGGCCUGGAAUUCCAUUCCAAAUUAUUUGCUAUUUUCAGAAAGAAAAAAAAAAAAGGUAUCUGGUGUCUGUUCUGUAUAUAAAUUACUGAGUUUCAAAUACUACUCAAGUUGCUGGCAAACAAGGUCCUGAGCAGAAGUGGGUUUCAGGGGAGCCUUGCAUUUUCUCCCAGGAGGUUCCUUCACUCUUGGAGAGAGAGAAAGAGCUAGUUAUAUAUUUUAUUUAUUUAUUUUUUGGCCACAUCCCUGGCAUGUAGAAGUUCCUGGGCCAGGGAUCAAACCCAUGCCAUAGCAGUGACCGGAGCCACAGCCGUGGCCAUGCCAGAUCCUUAACCUGCUGAGCUUCCAGGGAAAUCUGAGAAAGAGCUCCUUUUGAAGUCUCGUCAUGGCUCAGUGGAAACAAAUCUGACUAGGAACCAUGAGGUUGCGGGUUCGACCCCUGGCCUCGAGCAUUGGGUUAAGGAUCCAGUGUUGCGGUGAGCUAUCGUGUAGGCUCGGAUCUGGCAUGGCUGUGGCUGUGGUGUAGGCGGUGGUUACAGCUCCAAUUCGACCCCUAGCUUGGGAAGCUUUGUAUGCCGCAGGUGCGGCCCUCAAAAGACAGAAAUAAAAUAAUAAAAAAAAAAAGAGCUACUUUUAACCCCAAGUUUUGUGUGUCAUUUUCCAUUGGAGGUGUACUUCUGGAAAACUGUGAGGAGUAGGAGACCAUCAAGUGGGAUAGUGUUUGUUUUUUUGUUUUCUUUUAAGAACUCAUACUCCCCGGUUCUCAGGAAAAUUGCCUCCUUCCCAGGCACCAAAGAGCAUCUUUUCUUUCAUCUCCUUUUCUUCUCUCCCUUCCUUUCUCUUGUUUUUGAGGUUUUUUUUUUUUUCUUUAAUGUUCAGAGUCUACUCGAAUAAAGAUACGUAUCUGGAAACUCAUUUUUUACCCUUGUUCUGAGGAAAUGGCCCAGCAUCUUCAGAAUAGCUGCUAGCUUUAGCUAACAUACACCUUCAGAGAUCUGGGAAGCUACUCUAACUUCAUUAGCACCAAACUCCUCAAUGCCAGGGACAGCCAAGUCAUCCACGGCUAAAACUGGGGAAAUGAGAAGACGCCACUUAUGCUCACCCUCCAGUAACUUGUAGCCUUGCCAAGAAAACAACAUCCAUGCAUAUCAAACCAUCAAUUACAAAUACACGACGGUAUGCUGAGAGUAUAUGGAGAACCUCCGGAUUCAUUACAUUAAGACCUGGGCUGAACCCACCUAAGCUGAGGUUCUGAAGUUCUACACCUGGCACCUGAGAAAUGUUCCUGGGCCUCCUCCUCACCACACUUAAAGAUUUCCAUCACACUAUAUUAGCCCUUAAGAGAUGGGUAAGAGCCACAAAUCUUUGUCUAAUAAAUAGAAUUCCUAACACUCUAGGGUUCAUAAGUUUCCUUGCCUAAUUCCUAAGAUUCCUCGGGGGCUUCCUAUGCUGGUGUACGCAAGGCAGUUCUGUGAUCAGACAAAAGGAUCACUCCUUUUUUAAAAAAUUUCAGUCCAGCAAGUGAGGACGUGAUGCAUUUGGGCUGGAAUUCUCUCAUUCCUGGAACUGAACAUUAAUCAUCCAAUGAGCUGGUCUGUUCUUCCUCAAAUCAAGGUCCACCUAGAACACGACACUCACACAUGAGAGCUGGACAAAUCCGGCCACCCUGGGCCGCCUGCGAAACAGGAUGGGAUUUUCAAAAAGUGCCGACCGUUUCCUCGCAGAUCCUUGAGUACAUCUGCCUGAGGUUGAGUCGUUCAGUGGAAUUUUGAUGGAGUUUAAAAUGUAUAUAAAGAACUGCAGUAAAACGCCCAGGCAGGGUUCACCCACACGUGAACUAAGGACACUGACAGGCACAAGUGCUCUGAAUACAAACACGCCCAACUGGCUUUGUGUGCUGGGACGAUGAUUUCACUCUUGGAAGCUCUGCUCCUCUUAGAGAUGCUUUUUUUUUUUUUUUUUUCCUUCUUCUUCUAAUACAAAUGUUUUACAUUGAAAAAGGUAAGGCACAAUAGCUUCUCAUUGGUUUAUGCUUCUUUAAAUAUCUACAAAGGGUAGUGGUUUAGGUUGGAAAUACCAUCUGUAAACCUCAGAGGAGGCAGAGCAUGAGGAAUUUUCUAAUGAAUUUCCCCCCACCAUCCCCCACCGCACACACGGGCACUUCUGCCACAUGCCUGUGAGAUGUGAGUUCUUCCUCCAUGAGAUGGGUUGGUAAGAAAUAAUAAGGAAUGUAUUUUGACAACCCAGUACUUGCGAACUCAACACAAGUACGAUGUACGUGACUGGAUGGCACUCCCAGCUAUUACAUAGGGCUGAACGUGACCUCUGGGAAACUCCUGAUGGAAUUCACCAGUUUUCUUCUCUCUGAAUCUACCAAGUCAUUGCACAACACAAAUCCAGCUGCGUGAGCCCUCCCUGUAGGGGAGCAAGAAGCUGUGGGGCUGCAGGCGGUGCCCAGUCCAGUCCAUUUGUUGAAGCAAUCCUGCUGUCAUCACCCGUGACUGAGAAUUAGCCAUUUGUUUUGCAAAAAUUGGGAGAUGCAAUAGACGUCUUCCAAGUUACAUAACAGAUACCCCAAUCCUUGGGUUCCAGCACUUCACCUCCUGGGCAUUGUUAUCCCCCAGCCACUUCUCCACCCUCUGAGCCCAUCUUUGUUUCCAUCAUUAGCUUCAAGACCAGGCCCACUCACUUACUGUAAGUGGCCAAAGUUAAAUGGUAAAAACAAACAAAAACAAAGACACCUACAUUCUAAAUGUGUUUAAAGGAGCUUAUGCGAUACAAUGUGCAUACCUCCGUAUAAACACAGCUGUCACUGAUAAGCCAUCAGGGGAACAUGAGCUUUGAGAUGCUUUUUUAGUGAUGAAGAUGCAUCGGACAAUUGAAACAGGGGAACAUAGUGGGGGCAGAUGGAUUGGUAUCUAUCCUUAGAAUAUUUAAUAAUAGAAGAGCCGAAAGUUCAGGCUGGGGAUUAUAAGGACACUUAUGACUGCUCUAUGGAAGGGGAAACUUCAGUUUAAGACCAAGAAGGACCUUCUAAUGAAAGAGACUGGGAUACUCUAUUAUUUCAUGGAGGCUGAAUGACCAUCUGUCUGAAUACUCUUGGCAGGAAUUCUUCCGAGAAAUGCUGAACCAGAGACUCUGACUCCUUCCCAACUCUCCACACCUGUGACUAUGGAAAUCCCUCUGAUGGUUGGUUGAGAACAGAAGAAUGUUCGAUGGGUUUGGAAAGGACCAGGCUUACUGAUAGAUGUAGGAAUUAGAAAUGGACGCAUUAACAGACUGUUCCAGCCAACUAUGGAAUGAUUCUGUAGCUCACAGUGUGUACAUUGUAGCUAAUAAAACAUUCAAAGACCUUCUAUAAUGAGUAGAUAAGAAUAUUUUAUAAAUAUCACACCAGAAAUGUGUUUGACUUUUCAAGUACAUGUGCAUACUUCACAAGCUUAUUCCCUUAGGUAAUAUAAAUAGCAGCAUUUAACAGAAGAUUUGGGAAACCAUAGUCCUUACUUCAUAGAGGCCAUGGGGUUUAAAUGAAGUAAUGCGUAAAAACUGCAGGGCAGAGCCCACAGCAGAGUUAGUCAACAAUAAAUAUUAGCUGUUCAUCUUAUUUACAAUCAUAACGGAUUUUCUCAAUAAGCUGUUUCUUAGUAGAGAGUGCCUAGGUUAAUGACCCACACUGGGUCAAAACUAUCUUGAUCCUAGAUUCCCAGAGUUCCCUAUGGGAUCUGCUUCACCCCGAGGAACCUGCAUACUGGACACAGUGUCAGUCAAUUAUCAGAGGCUUAGACAUGCGGCAUAUCCAUAUCACUUGGUCUCUUGGUGCGUAUAAACUAAAACAAAUUCUCAAAAGGCUCCGUUUUUCUAAGAAAGUAACUAAGACCUCGUUAAGGUGGAAUCAAAGGAGCAAAUGGCAAGAACUGGGUAAGGAGAGACUUCACAUACACAGCUUUUUUUGUGUGACUAAUUUAGUGGGUUAGUGUUGCCUUGCAGCUUGUGCUGUUUUCCAGCUGGCUCAGAGGAGGAGAGAACUGAGGGCCAAACAUUUGGUGAGUUUCCUAAUGAAAGAAAUUAAACAAUAGCUGCUCUGGCUUUUUGUAAGCAAAAAUGUGUUCGCUGAGUGCCAGAAAGAGAAGCAGCUCUCCCUCUAUUCCAUACUUUUGGAUCUAUAUGGUCAAAUCAAGGAGGCCAUCCCAGAGGUCCAUGUGACCACUCUUUCUCUUCACUAG